GAUGAACGCUGGCGGCGUGCCUAACACAUGCAAGUCGAGCGGCAGCGAGGGGUGCUUGCACCCUGUCGGCGAGCGGCGGACGGCUGAGUAACGCGUGGGAACGUGCCCCAAAGUGAGGAAUAACUGCCCGAAAGGGUAGCUAAUACCGCAUAUUAUCUUCGGAUCAAAGGAUUUAUCCGCUUUGGGAGCGGCUCGCGUCGGAUUAGGUAGUUGGUGAGGUAAUGUCUCACCAAGCCGACGAUCCGUAGCUGGUAUGAGAGGAUGACCAGCCAGACUGGAACUGAGACACGGUCCAGACUCCUACGGGAGGCAGCAGUGAGGAAUCUUCCACAAUGGGCGAAAGCCUGAUGGAGCACCGCCGCGUGCAGGACGAAGGCCUUCGGGUUGUAAACUGCUUUUAUAAGUGAGGAAUAUGACGGUAACUUAUGAAUAAGGAUCGGCUAACUACGUG
rnacentral:rRNA from 1 species